ensembl:ncRNA W05F2.9 ncRNA
GGAAAAAAAACUAAAAAAUCGAUACAGUAUCGAUUUUCCGUGUAUUCAUUUUUGCGCGUCAUUUUUAGCGCAUUAUUGCAGGAAAUUGAUGCAUCAUAACUGACGUGUAAAUCUUCAACUUUAUCAUCAAAGAUUCUCAUUUAAUAUCAA